AUUGAACGCUGGCGGCAGGCCUAACACAUGCAAGUCGAGCGAGCGGCGGACGGGUGAGUAAUGUAUGGGGCUCUGCCCGAUAGAGGGGGAUACAUACUGGAAACGGUGGCUAAUACCGCAUACUAUCGCAUGUACCCAUAUGGGAUUAGCUAGUAGGUGGGGUAAAGGCUCACCUAGGCGACGAUCUCUAGCUGGUCUGAGAGGAUGAUCAGCAACACUGUGACGGAGACACGGCCCAGAAUCCUACGGGAGGACGCAGGGGGGAAUUUUGGACAAUGGGCGCAAGCCUGAUGCAGCCAUCCCGCGGGUGUGAAGAAGGCCUUAGGGUUGUAAAGUACUUUCAGCGGGGAGGCGUUACCCGCAGAAGAAGCACCGGCUAACUCCGUGCCAGCAGCCGCGGUAAUUC
rnacentral:rRNA from 1 species